rnacentral:rRNA from 1 species
GACGAACGCUGGCGGCGUGCUUAACACAUGCAAGUCGAACGGAAAGGCCCUGCUUUUGUGGGGUGCUCGAGUGGCGAACGGGUGAGUAACACGUGAGUAACCUGCCCUUGACUUUGGGAUAACUUCAGGAAACUGGGGCUAAUACCGGAUAGGAGCUCCUGCUGCAUGGUGGGGGUUGGAAAGUUUCGGCGGUUGGGGAUGGACUCGCGGCUUAUCAGCUUGUUGGUGGGGUAGUGGCUUACCAAGGCUUUGACGGGUAGCCGGCCUGAGAGGGUGACCGGGCACAUUGGGACUGAGAUACGGACCAGACUCCUACGGGAGGCAGCAGUGGGGAAUAUUGCACAAUGGGGGGAAGCCUGAUGCAGCAACGCCGCGUGCGGGAUGACGGCCUUCGGGUUGUAAACCGCUUUCGCCUGUGACGAAGCGUGAGUGACGGUAAUGGGUAAAGAAGCACCGGCUAACUACGUG